rnacentral:rRNA from 1 species
GACGAACGCUGGCGGCGUGCUUAACACAUGCAAGUCGAGCGGAAAGGCCACUUCGGUGGUACUCGAGCGGCGAACGGGUGAGUAACACGUGAGUAAUCUGCCCUUGGCUUUGGGAUAGCCACCGGAAACGGUGAUUAAUACCGGAUAUGACCAUUCCUCGCAUGGGGGGUGGUGGAAAGUUUUUCGGCCAGGGAUGUGCCCGCGGCCUAUCAGCUUGAUGGUGAGGUAAUGGCUCACCAUGGCUUCGACGGGUAGCCGGCCUGAGAGGGUGACCGGUCACACUGGGACUGAGACACGGCCCAGACUCCUACGGGAGGCAGCAGUGGGGAAUAUUGGACAAUGGGCGGAAGCCUGAUCCAGCAACGCCGCGUGAGGGAUGACGGCCUUCGGGUUGUAAACCUCUUUCGCCAGUGACGAAGCGAGCCAUAUGGUGAGUGACGGUAGCAGGUAAAGAAGCACCGGCCAACUACGUGCCAGCAGCCGCGGUAAUACGUAGGGUGCGAGCGUUGUCCGGAAUUAUUGGGCGUAAAGGGCUCGUAGGCGGUUUGUCGCGUCGGGAGUGAAAACCAGGUGCUUAACACCUGGCUUGCUUUCGAUACGGGCAGACUAGAGGUAUGCAGGGGAGAACGGAAUUCCUGGUGUAGCGGUGAAAUGCGCAGAUAUCAGGAGGAACACCGGUGGCGAAGGCGGUUCUCUGGGCAUGACCUGACGCUGAGGAGCGAAAGUGUGGGGAGCGAACAGGAUUAGAUACCCUGGUAGUCCACACCGUAAACGUUGGGCGCUAGGUGUGGGGUCCAUUCCACGGAUUCCGUGCCGCAGCUAACGCAUUAAGCGCCCCGCCUGGGGAGUACGGCCGCAAGGCUAAAACUCAAAGGAAUUGACGGGGGCCCGCACAAGCGGCGGAGCAUGCGGAUUAAUUCGAUGCAACGCGAAGAACCUUACCUGGGUUUGACAUACACCCUGCCGCUCCAGAGAUGGGGCUUCUUUUGGGGGUGUACAGGUGGUGCAUGGCUGUCGUCAGCUCGUGUCAUGAGAUGUUGGGUUAAGUCCCGCAACGAGCGCAACCCUCGUUCUAUGUUGCCAGCAUGCCCUUCGGGGUGAUGGGGACUCAUAGGAGACUGCCGGGGUCAACUCGGAGGAAGGUGGGGAUGACGUCAAGUCAUCAUGCCCCUUAUGUCCAGGGCUUCACGCAUGCUACAAUGGCCGGUACAAAGGGCUGCGAUCCCGUAAGGGGGAGCGAAUCCCAAAAAGCCGGUCUCAGUUCGGAUUGGGGUCUGCAACUCGACCCCAUGAAGUCGGAGUCGCUAGUAAUCGCAGAUCAGCAACGCUGCGGUGAAUACGUUCCCGGGCCU